UGCACCCAGGGAUAGUAUAGCGG
rnacentral:miRNA from 15 species